rnacentral:rRNA from 1 species
UACAGAGGUCUCAAGCGUUGUUCGGAUUCAUUGGGCGUAAAGGGUGCGUAGGCGGCGGGGCAAGUCGGAUGUGAAAUCUCAGGGCUCAACCCUGAAACUGCAUUCGAUACUGCCUUGCUCGAGGACUGGAGAGGAGAUUGGAAUUCACGGUGUAGCAGUGAAAUGCGUAGAUAUCGUGAGGAAGACCAGUGGCGAAGGCGGAUCUCUGGACAGUUCCUGACGCUCAGGCACGAAAGCGUGGGGAGCAAAAGGG